rnacentral:rRNA from 1 species
AGUGAACGCUGGCGGUAGGCCUAACACAUGCAAGUCGAACGGCAGCACAGUGAGAGCGUGCGCUUACGGGGGGGGGGUGGGGGACGGGAGAGGAAAACAACGGAAUCUAGUUUUUCGGGGAGGAUAACGAAAGGAAACUUAAGAUAGUAUAGGAUACGAUGUACGGGGGAGAGGAGGGGAAAGUCGGGGCGGGCGGGGAUGAACGAGCGGAUGUCGGAUUAGCUAGUGGGGGGGGUAAAGGCCCACCAAGGCGACGAUCCGUAGCUGGUCUGAGAGGAUGAUCAGCCACACUGGAACUGAGACACGGUCCAGACUCCUACGGGAGGCAGCAGUGGGGAAUAUUGGACAAAGGGCGCAAGCCUGAUCCAGCCAUACCGCGUGGGUGAAGAAGGCCUUCGGGUUGUAAAGCCCUUUUGUUGGGAAAGAAAAGCAGCAGGUUAAUACCCCGCUGUUCUGACGGUACCCAAAGAAUAAGCACCGGCUAACUUCGUG